GUUUAAACAACAGAAACUUACUUCUCACAGUUCUGGAGGCUGGAAGUCCAGGCCAAGGUGCCGGCAAGCAUCUGGAGCGCGAAGACUGGGCCAGAGAUGAGAAGAAGCCUGACGCCCUCCUGCCAUGGGGACUUGGCCUGAGAAUGAUGGAGAAGAGAAACGUCCUUGAAAUGAAGGUUCUUUGGGUUCAUUUGUCCAACCAGCCCUGGCUAAUGGUUGGCAAUGGGGGAAGGGCCAAGGGUUCCAAAAGGCGUAUGAGAAGAGGGCUGUUUGCCGACCCGAAUGCCACUGCAAAUUGACAAAGUUGUCCGCUCUUUCCACCACAGAUGAUUCCAUUUAUAUAAGGGCACAAUAUGAUGUUAUUACAUUCUUCUUUUUCCUUCUUCUUCUCCCCAAAGCCCCCAGAACAUAGUUGUAUAUUCUAGUUGUAGGUCCUUCUGGCUGUACUAUGUGGGAUGCCACCUCAGCAUGGCCUGGUGAGCGGUGCCAUGUCCGCACCCAAGAUCUGAACUGGUGAAACCCUGGGCCGCUGAAGCAGCGCGCACGUGCGAACUUAACCACUCAGCCACGGGGCCGGCCCCUGAUGUUAUUACAUUCUUGAAUGAACAGACCCAAUAUGAUUUAUUUAGAUAUUUUCCCACUUACUACUGUUAUCAUCAAAAUAAAACACAGACGUGACCACAGGGAGUUCCAGUUAUUGGCUUCAGGGAGAGCCCUGGGCUGGAGAGUGUGGCUGAAAGCCCAAGGUGUUCACGGAUGGCGGCCCAGGGGGUGGAGGGUUUGGAGAGGUCAGACAGGGAGGCAGCAGGCUGCCCCAGGACACAGGCGGGUCAAGGUCCGAGUUGGUCCUUCACUGAGGUGGCAGCUUAGGAGGGUGUCCACGGUCAGGGCGCCAUGCAGAUGGAAGGGGGUGGAGUCUGGGUGCAGUGGGGCGGGGGCAUCCUAGUCAGGAGAACUGCUGACGCUGUGGAGGGCUUGGUGUAGGCCAAGUGUUAUGCGGAUUAGUUGUUAUAUUUUUAUUCUCUUCUCAG
rnacentral:lncRNA from 1 species